AAUCUCAAACUUUGUCUACACACACAAAACCUUUAAUAAACAGUAAAAAAAGCCUGGACGUCGAAUUUCGAAAUUAUACUUUACUUAAUAAACAAACAUCGUUCUUUGUAACGUAAAUUCAUCGAAUAUGCGCGCAUGCGUAAACCAACGGCUGCUAUUAGUUUUGUGUUUGCGAUUGAAGACACAUCUUCAUAAUGUUUUGCAGUAAUGUUUGUAAAGCGAAAUUUUUACGUAGUAUAAAAAACGCAUUCAGUUCGUUAGUUUUAAAGAAUUAGCAGAUGUUUCGUUCGUAUCUAUUUAUAGGUAGGAUUAAUAGGGAAGUUCAUUAGUCGUUUCUUUAAUGUUGGUACUAAAACUAAGUAAAGAUGAACCGUUUCCUUUUAUUUCCGUCUUGAUUUUCGUGCAUUUCGUGUAAUGAAAGGAAGAAAAAUUUUGUUGUCAUGUAUUUAAUCUGCUAACCCGUCUCGUCUCGUCUCGUCUCGGGAACUAAGGAGUGGUGGGACCAAAUUGGCGAUGCAUCACGGGACCUGGCUGAGUGCUGCUGCUGGGACAAACUCCGCUACCCUGGGUGGACCGUGCGCUGGCCCCCUCAGGGACGUAGCCGGGGGAAGUCCUCAGAAUAUAAAAAACUGCAUAGCCGCACCGGUGACUAUUGCAAGCUGCAGCAGCAGCAUCAUCUUGGGCGAGCUGCACUGGCAACUCGGGUGAGCUGCAGCAGCAGCAUCUUGGGCGAGCUGCACUGGCAACUCGGGUGAGCUGCAGCAGCAGCAUCUUGGGUGAGCUGCACUGGCAACUCGGGUGAGCUGCAGCAGCAGCAUCUUGGGCAAGCUGCAGCUGCAUCUUGGGUGAGAUGCACCAGCAUCUUGGGCGAGCUGCACUGGCAACUCGGGUGAGCUGCAGCAGCAGCAUCUUGGGCAAGCUGCAGCUGCAUCUUGGGUGAGAUGCACCAGCAUCUUGGGCGAGCUGCACUGGCAACUCGGGUGAGCUGCAGCAGCAGCAUCUUGGGCAAGCUGCAGCUGCAUCUUGGGUGAGAUACACCAGCAUCUUGGGCGAGCUGCACUGGCAACUCGGGUGAGCUGCAGCAGCAGCAUCUUGGGCAAGCUGCAGCUGCAUCUUGGGUGAGAUGCACCAGCAUCUUGGGCGAGCUGCACCGGUGACUCAUGCGAGCUGCUGCUGCUUGGGGCCAACUGCAAGACCUAGAAGCUGCGCUAUCCCAUUCUCAGACCUGCCAACUUGUAAAGUUGCUUAUCAGUAAGAUUUUAAAAUUUUCCGAAAAGUGCGUAAAUAGGUCGCGGCAUUUCAUGUCAGUUAUACACACCAGUUGUUCACCAUAAAUAAGUGGGAAACAUGUGUUAUACACAUAUUUACACACAAACAUCACAUAUUAUGCAAAUGAAUGCUAUUCUCCGUAAUUUAAACAAACAAGAUGAAAAGUAAUUUUCAAAACUUAAUUUUCUUAUGCUGAACAUAAAAUUCACUUUUUCUUUUAAGAAUUCUUGAAAACCAACUUACCUACCAAUCUUUUGUAUGAUGUUUGUUAUUUUCCCCCCUUGAAUUUUGCCACACUCAAGUUAAAAUUAUGCCAAUGCAAACACUUGUAAAACCUUAACAAAAUAUGUCACCACGAGGGGAUAAAGUUUGGAACAAGAAUCUGUGAAAGGCAAAAUGGCCCAUUUUGCAAACAGUCAACAAUAUUAGAAACUACAUCUAAAGCCAUUUCAUUAACAAUGGCAGUUGUCUUAGUUCUACCACAGCUAUAUUGUUUAGCCACAUCACACUUAGGAAACAUUUUUCUAAGCAGUGGGCCAACAUGAUCUGCAAUACUGAAGGGUAUGUUGUGUUCCACAAAAGAACCAGUGAACAAACACUCAGCCUGAAUAACCUCAUUUUCAACACUAUUUGUACCAAAGUAAGUGUUAUAUCUUUUUAUUUUCCUGUUGGUAUUUGAAAUUACUUACAUGUUUUGCACACUUGAUAUGGAUAGUGGGUAAAUAUGUAGUUAAGCGGUAUUUGCGAAAGAAAAUUUUAAAAAUCUGAAAAUACUUUUAUUAUAUGCUCUUUAAAUUCCUCUUUUCAUUAAAGCCGGCGAAGAUAAGAAAUUCCAAAUACUUUAUGAGAUAUCGCCGUUCUUAAUUAUGCUAUAGAAGAUGUGUGUAAUCAUUCGACCGUUGCCAUUGUUGUUAUUUUGCCGUGUGUUCGUGAAUGCCUAAUUAAUUAAAAUGGUCCGCCGGCUUUAAUGAAAAGAGGAAUUUAAAGAACAUAUAAUAAAAGUAUUUUCAGAUUUUUAAUAUUUUUUUUUCGCAAAUACCGCUCAACUACAUAUUUACGCACAUUUUAUACCUUUUGUCGGUACAUAAGUACUAUAUUAAGAAAAAUAAUUGACGCCUUGACUCAAACAACUUUAUUUCUUUCUUGCUUCACUACACAACAAAAUGUAUGUAUGUGAAACUCAAAUACACUCCCAAACAUAACUGUAUCGUAAAUAUUUUGCUUUAACUGAACCACUAUAGUUUUUAAUUAAUGUACACCAAACCACUAUUAGUUAUCAAACACAACACUACACGCGUGGACAUAACCUGCAAUCUCGUACACGACGGGCCCAUCUACAACAGUCCGAACCUGUGGCCUCUGGGUGGUCUGUGUCCUUAUCCCAUAGAUAAAGGUUACUAUCUUAAAGUGAAUGAAUGACGUCACAUGUCGCACAUACGACUGUCCAGUCUACAAUUACGAUGUCUGAUGUCUGAAAUCUAACGAUUUCUAAAGUAUUCACCACAGCGCACUAACGUGGAAGCGCGGCAAAAAAUGUCGCCGGGUCAGUGCAAAUAUAUGGUAUUCUGUACUGUAAACUACAGUACAUGUACCACAAAAUGCGGUUAAAACAAUCUUGCAGCACGUUAAAAUCGGAACUUCCUUUCUUCUUGCCGUAAAAACCAUUACAAAACUGUGGUAUUGUACGUGACAUUUACGGCACUGUUCCAACAAAAAUACGGUACAAAAACUGUAUAUAUGGUAUUUACCGAUGCAAGUACACUAUUUUAUGGCACGAGAUUGAAAACGCUAGCCCGUGGCCCGUGAGUCAAUGUAGAAUUUCAGGCCAGAAGAAACGUAAGCGUAAAAUUAAUGCCGCUCCCCGUAAAAACGUAAGAACUGCAAUCACCCGUACAAAUUACGGCAGAAUCGUACAAGUUGGCAGGUCUGCAUUCUGCUCUGCUCGCAUUCACGUGCCCUUCAGUCACAAUAAGGUAACUAAAUUUAGUAGGUCUCAGUUAAGAAAAAAAAACUAAAAUCAAAUCAUUUACUAGGAAAUAUUUCCUUAAUAUUUAUAACCAAAAACUAGAAGAUCUGUCCUUACUUUAAUAACCAUUAUAGCUCUAAAAAUAACUGUAAAUUAAUUCUUGAUAACACAGUAUUUAGUGCCAUAGUUUCAGUCCUUUAAAAUCUACCUUGUGCACACUUCUCAAAUAUAAUGAUUUUGUCUUAAGAUUAACUUCUGAAUGUUUACGAACUGAUUCAUCUAACCUUACAGUACUAGAUUCAUAGCAUUUUCUUAACUUGGUAUUUAUUUUGCUUUAUUAAUAAUCAUGUGUAUAUACUCUUAUUUUUUUCAAUAGUGUUAUUUCCUUUGAUUGGCAUUAAUAUUAUAGUUAUAACUGUUUUUAUUUUUUAUUUUAAUUUUAUCAUUGUAGUGUUGAUCUAUUGGUUGUGCUGUUAUUGUUUUCCAUUGUCCUGUGUUAUUUAUUGUUAGUAUAUGGUGUUUGUUUAUUGUGCUUACAAAAUAAGUUUUUCUUCAUCUGUGAUUGGCAUGUUACAAUUUAAUUAAACAAAAUAAAAUAAAAGUACUGUUCAUGAAAGUCAUGAAACUUGAAUUUCUGCCAGCCUUUUACUUAUUUGCAUUUUGUUUUUCGACACCUCACAAUAUUUUGUAGUCAUUAUUUAGUUAUAAAUAGUUUUUGAGACAUUCCACUUUAAAUCAUGCGGAAAUAAUUUCCAAAAAUGUUAAAGCUUUCUAACUUAAAAAUUGCCACAUUCCUGCGUAAAAUUUGAUUUUUUUUUUUUUUGUUUAGUUUUUCUAGUAAUUUAAACAAAUUAAACCCUGUAUUAUAAAGAAUUUGUAUGAGAGUUCUAUAAUAGGUUCUGAAAGAAUCCUGAAAUUCAUCCACCAGGUGUAUUUAGAUAUCACGUACAGGCUCUCAUGAAGGUUCCACCCAACUUGUAGCUGUGGUGUUUUACUGUGGUGAUUCCUACUGGUAUUUUUGAAACAAAUAUACAACAAUAAUUUUCACAUGAGUUGUAUGAAAUGAUGUGCAAGUUUUCUUUAUAUAAAAAAAAAAAAAACCCUUUAUAUUGAUGUACAUGUAGAAACUAAGAAAAGUAUUUUAAACUUUGCUUGAAUUUUCUUUAGAAAUUAUACCUCCUUAUUACGAACUGGUCCGUUUAGGCUUGUAUAAAUGAGGUUGUGACUGGACAUGAAAAAUGGAAGACCAUGUCACUCAACGCUAGCUGUUUUAGUAGUAGUCUAACUAAACCCCCGUCUACAGUUGCGAUGUCCCAAAUUGUAUCAGACGUCCGAUGGACACUGAUCGCUUUAGAAAUGAAUAGAUUCGGACAUCAGUAAUUGUAGACAGAGCAGUUAUGUGACAUCAUUCACAUUAGGAUAAGAGCACGAACCGCCCACAUGUUAGGACUGUUGCAAACAGGCUAUGUUACAUUGUGGUACAUUCUUAUUUUAAUUUUACUCCCUCAUAGAUAUUUUUAAUAGUUGCAUUCAGUUUUUGUACUCUCUGGUCUUACAGGGUCUUAACAUUGCAGAGCGAAUGAGCAGUGAGUUGGCCAACAUGACUAAAAUAUUAAAUGAAAUAUCUAAAUAUGUGUACAUAUUAACACCAUUCUCAAACAAAAAAUUAAUCCUCAAAAUUUGAAGACUAAAAAAUUUAGAGAUAUUUAUUAAUGAAUCUUGUUUCAAUAAUUAACAGAUUUAAAUAAAAAGUGUCGCUAUUAUUUUAUAUUUUUAAAGUUUUUAAUUUGUAAUCAGAUUAUAGCUCUUUACAUUGGCUAUUAGACUGUUACAGAAGAUUUCAGGGGAAACUGUCGGUGUUAGAAUCCUUUAAAAUUGUGCAUACCGUCAGCCUGUCUGCCAUAAUAUGUAGUCUCGUGUCCUAGUGAUGUUGCAAAUAUAAUUCUAUGUUUAUUCCCACAGAUAUUAAGCAGAGACUGCAUAGCUGGGCUUCUGGUGAAUGAAUCCAUUCAAGAUGUCGAGAAUGUUGAAGAUGCUGAGAGAACACCAUGCGGGAUCAAACCCUCGGAACAUCUCGAAGAGGAAAGAAAGUAAAUUGUAUGUUAUAAAUAGUGAGGGUUUUUUAUGGAAAAUACGCUUGUUGGAUUCAUAAUUUAUGUCUCGCGUAUCAGUAGCACCAAGUAUUGUGUUACUGAUUGUAAAAACUUUUUUUUAUUUUAACUUUCAGAAAAAUUUCAAAAAUCCAGAAUAUAUAAUGUGUGUAAUGUCCUCUAUUUUACUUUCACUGAAGGUCAUCUUAAAGCAUGUACAUUAGGCCUGUGCAAAUUAUAGUUUUUUUUUAGUUUAAAAUCGCAUAUGAAUACAAAAAUUAUUUGUGAAUAUGAAUGAAAAUUAGAAUCCCACAUCUUGUUGCAAUUCAUGAAAAAUUAGACAAAUAAUACCAAAGUAUAAGAUUGGUUAAAAUAAGUCAGCUACAGUAAUUUUAAGGAAAAUUUUUGCCAAAAUAUUUAAAUUAUGAAAUAACAGUUUUUUAAAAUUAUGCAGCUAACCUAACCAACCUUUAAUUUCAGUUUCUAUUGGCCUUAUUUUCCACAACUUGAACUCUAUGAUCCAGAAAAUUUUAGCUUACCACAAAAUACUUUGGAAUCCAUCGCAAUCAAUUUUACGAAAAAUGCGAACCUUUUUUCAAAAUGCUGUACUCACAAAUGAAGUGAUUGAAUGAGCUUAUAGUAACAUAUUUAUACCGUGGUUAUUCACGAGUGUUUGUUGUUAAAGAGUGCCAGAUAAAUUAUAUUUUAUUUCAGCAAUAUAUUAAAAAUCAGCAUUUGCUGAUUUCAUCUGGAAUCUUAAACCAUUAUAAUUUAUUUAUAUAUAUUUUUGAUUCACAAUGUCUGUUUCAUCAUAGGUACAUAUAGUAAGUAAGCUUCUACUGUAUCAUAUGGUGUUGGAUCAUUUGUGACUAUCAGUUUGUACGUCAUUGAAACUAUGAGAGUUAAUUAAUUCUUGUAACACCCGUCUGAAUGGAGUGUCCGUGUUUUGUGGUGGUGCAGUCCAUGGUGUGAAUGUUUAUUUUUUCCUACUUCUGGUGCACGUGACAAAAGAAAUAGAAAUAUUAUUUUGUUUUCAAAAUUGAAAUGAUAAAUAUGCAGUGUUUGGAAUUGUUUAUGCAAUUUUUUCUGUUAAUGUUUAGCAAGGCGGUAGCAAAAAAAAAAAAAAAAAAACUUUGAAUACUUGUUGUAUAUUUAAAACGUCACUUAUUGUUCAUGUCUUUGAUUAUGGAGUCCCAUUAAACAUAAAAAAAAAGGGUAUUAUCAUCACAUAAAUGACUUAAUCUCAGCAGUGAAUUUUGGUGUGUGACAAUUCAUGAGAUAUGCUAAAUUAAGUAUUCAUAAGCAAACGAAUCUUUAGUAUUUCGAAGUUUUAGAAAUAGAGGUUGAAUCAAAUCAUUUAAUUGUAUUAAAAAAUUCAAAAUUCCGUAUUGUAUCGCAUAAAAAAAAUAUAUUUCUUUGUUAGGUAAAGUUAUUCAUAAAAACAAAACCCAUUUAUGGAAAGUAUGUUUAUUUAAAAAGCACGCCGAACAAUUUAAAUUAAUAAGUCAUGCAACAAAAACCUUUCAUCAACUUCAAAUAUAAAAACAAAAUGUGAAUGCGAGCCUGAACUAAUGCAUAACUAUUGUCGUCGUACGCCACGAAAGAGUGCGGGCCAACAAAUGUAGUUAACUCAGAACUCCACAGAGAGCGUGCGUUGCAUGCAAUCGGUGAGAGAUCAGCAUCAAUAUUCGACUGUGUGCGCACGCUAUACGAGAAGCAACAUGAGUGAUGCCAACUAGCGCUGGCUACCUUUUUUUUUAUAAGCGGUACACAGCAGCGACGUAAAGGUUGUAACGUUUAAAAACGUCUUUAAAAGAUAAUUUACUUUACACAUCAGACAACUUCACAUUUACGUUAAUUAAAUAAGUAAGUGGUAAUGUCCAAAUAAAUAUUAUAUUUCUACUUUAAAACAAACUGUUUUAUAUAGAAAAGAUACCUACACAAAGUGCCCGGAAUCUAAUAGCAGGACCAAAAACAUCAUACAACGUUUACGCGAUGUUUUUUUAAUCAAAAUUUUGAUGCCCUAAAAUAUAGUUGUGGCAAUUAUGCGAUAAAACAGGGUAUUACUCUGAAAUAACAAAUAUUUGACACUGCAUACCUCAUGACUUUGUCAUAUACCAACGUUCGUUGUUAAGGUUAAGUCAUUGUGCGACUUUAAGAUGUUUUAAUGGGACUCGUAACAAAAAAUAUGAACAAUAAUAAGUGGUUUUUUAAACAUGCAACAAGUAUUCAAUUUUUUUCCCACUACUGUCUCACUAAACAUUAACAAUUCAAAACACGACAUACUUGUCAUUUCAAACUUAAAAGUAAAAUAUUAUUUGCUAAUAUCAACACAUGCACAAGAAGUUUGAAAAAAUAAAUAAAUGUCAACAACUAUGGACUACAAGACCAGGAAAAAACUCGCUCCAUUGCGAUGGCCAGUGAAAGAAGUAAAUUACAUACAUAGUUACAAUGGCAUAUAAAUUGAUGGUCACAAUUGAUCUAACACCCUGCGACACAGUAGAAUUUUUAUUCUUGUAUGUACCUAUGACAAAACAGACAAUUAGACUCCAAAAAUAUAUUUAAAAAAAGUAAUGGUUUUGUGUUCCAUGUAAAAUCAGCAGAAACUGUGAUUAACAUACCGCCAAUUUAAAAUAUAACGAUCCUGACUGCAGUUAACUAUGGUUUAAAUACAAACUCAUUUAAUCACCAAUUUAGGAAUACUGUUUUGAAAAAAAAAAAAAAUCCAGUUUGUUGAUAAAUAAAUUGUAUGGUACCUAUUUUGUUUUCUUGAUCAAAAUGUUAGAGUAUCAGGUUCUGGUAAAUAGGAAUUAAAUAAUUGCAGCCCACGUUACACAUUUAACUAGUAUAUCUUGGAAGUAACAGCAUUUGUACCUUUUUUCUAGUUGGAUACUAAACUAUAAAACUUAAUUGCACAAGCCUAUCCAUCAAUGAUGUAUUCUUAUUCUGUGAAAAAAUAAAUAAAUUUUUAUUGAAC